UGGGGAAUAUUGCGCAAUGGGCGAAAGCCUGACGCAGCGACGCCGCGUGAGGGAUGAAGGUCUUCGGAUCGUAAACCUCUGUCAGCAGGGAAGAAAGUUAUGCGUGCUAAUCAGCGUGUAAUUGACGGUACCUGCAAAGGAAGCACCGGCUAACUCCGUGCCAGCAGCCGCGGUAAUACGGAGGGUGCGAGCGUUAUCCGGAUUCAUUGGGCGUAAAGCGCGCGUAGGCGGCCGCCUAAGCGGAACCUCUAAUCCCGGGGCUCAACCUCGGGCCGGGUUCCGGACUGGGCGGCUCGAGUGCGGUAGAGGCAGGCGGAAUUCCCGGUGUAGCGGUGGAAUGCGCAGAUAUCGGGAAGAACACCGAUGGCGAAGGCAGCCUGCUGGGCCGCCACUGACGCUGAGGCGCGAAAGCUGGGGGAGGCGAACAGGAUUAGAUACCC
rnacentral:rRNA from 1 species